AUUGAACGCUGGCGGCGGGCUUAACACAUGCAAGUCGAGCGGAGAUGAGGUGCUUGCACCUUAUCUUAGCGGCGGACGGGUGAGUAAUGCUUAGGAAUCUGCCUAUUAGUGGGGGACAACAUUCCGAAAGGAAUGCUAAUACCGCAUACGUCCUACGGGAGAAAGCAGGGGAUCUUCGGACCUUGCGCUAAUAGAUGAGCCUAAGUCGGAUUAGCUAGUUGGGGGGGUAAAGGCCGACCAAGGCGACGAGCUGUAGCGGGUCUGAGAGGAUGAUCCGCCACACUGGGACUGAGACACGGCCCAGACUCCUACGGGAGGCAGCAGUGGGGAAUAUUGGACAAUGGGGGGAACCCUGAUCCAGCCAUGCCGCGUGUGUGAAGAAGGCCUUAUGGUUGUAAAGCACUUUAAGCGAGGAGGAGGCUACUGAGACUAAUACUCUUGGAUAGUGGACGUUACUCGCAGAAUAAGCACCGGCUAACUCUGUGCCAGCCGCCGCCGUAA
rnacentral:rRNA from 1 species